GUUCCUUUUGUAGACUGGAUUUUUGUUCUGUUUUGGCUUCAAACUCUUGGUGUAGCAGAGGAUGUCUUUGAACGCCUCAGUUUCUUACUUCCACCUCGGACGUGCUGAGAUGGCAGGCGGGAAAGACCGUCUCAUCUCCACACUCCGAAUCCAGCAAAAUCAAAGGAUUGGAAAGAGUUAGGAUCCUUGGUUUGGGACCUCAAAAGUGUUUCAAGAAUUAGAUACAACCCCACUACUAAGGGUAGCUGUCAUUGGAGGGUUGCGUAGAAGAGCAGCCGCUUGGGGGCAGCAGAACACAGGGCAGAAGCCUCAGCGCUGUCCUGAAAGCAGGAGAAAACAGGCUUAAAAGCCUGGCUGAGGCUGUCUCUUUGGAGCCACAGCUGUGAAUGCAGAGGAAGGAAGGCCUGGAGCCCGGAGGUGGGAAGUGAGCAAGAACUAUCCAAUAGGAACACAAUGUGAGCAACGUAUGUAAUUUAGCUUUCCUGCUUUUUCCUUUUUUUUUUUUCCUAAAUAAAAUGUUGGUUUAUUUUCAAGUUUUCUAGUACUCUUUUUAUUAGGUCUCAAACCCUGAAUAAAUGGCUAAUUGUGGUGUUCAUCAACAUAUCAAAGCUGGCUGCCAGGUUCUCCCAGCUCCCCUCGAUCUCUACCUGUUACAAGGCCCUCUUGGCUAGCACACCCCGCCCCUAACAGAACUUCUCCUGCCCCAGCUCCUCUGGACCCCAUAACUCAGAUAUUUUAGCUAUGCCAGUCUCUUGACCAAUCUCUUGGACGAGGCUGACCCUCUCAGUCAGCGGCUCCUCCCCUCUCCUCAGGGUCUUGCUCACUCUGGACUCUCCCAGAUGUCCUUGCCUCUGCCUCUGCUAGUUCUCCCUUUAUCUACAGUAAACAUUCUCCUCGACUAUACCUAAGAGCAGUCAGGUCUUUCUUAUUUCUAUUCUCCUUUAAAAAGUCCCUUUCAACAAAAGUAAGAAAAAGAAAAGAAUUUUAAUAUUUUAGUUUAAUCCCAUAUUUCUAAACUGUUAUUAAUAUAAAGUUUUAGUCAUCUUGCAUUGUUAUUAACAUUUUUUAGUAUUAAUACUGAAAUCCAACGUGUAUUUUGUAUUUAUAGGAUUUUUUGUGUGUAUGGGUAGUUAAUUUAAUCUAAUCUAUUAGGUGUUUUUGCUGUGGAGAGGGGUCUUGUGAGGAUUCCAAGAGUCUCCCCAGAAGAUACUGAGCUUGCGCCAGGAGCAGUGUCAAAGUCCCAUAAUCCCGAGUGUUUGGAAGG
rnacentral:lncRNA from 1 species